CCCAGCCUGGGCCUAAGAAGCAGCCUCGGGGACACCAUGGCCUGGACCCCUCUCCUCCUUGGCCUCCUCGCUCACUGCACAGGCUCCGUGGCCUCCUAUGAUGUGACUCAGCCGUCCUCGAUGUCGGUGGCCCUGGGACAGACAGCCCGGAUCACCUGUGGAGGAGACAACAUUGGAGGGAAAAAUGUGCAGUGGUACCAGCAGACGCCAGGCACGUCCCCCAGGCUGGUCAUCUAUUAUGAUAACAAGCGGCCCUCAGGGAUCCCUGACCGAUUCUCAGGCUCCAACUCAGGGAACACGGCCGCCCUGACCAUCAGCGGGGUCCAGGCCGAGGACGAGACCGACUAUUACUGUCAGGUGUGGGAUAGCAGUAACUACAUUGCUCACAGUGACACAGACAGACGGGGAAGUGAGACACAAACCUGCCACCAGCCUGCCUCACAGUGCCCUGUCCUCCCUCCCACCCUGGUCACAUGACAGGAGAGACCCUUGCACAUGGAGGAGUCUCUGCCCCUCCCUCCCCUGCCUCCCUAAGACAUGGCAGCUCCUUCCUGAACCUCUGCAGCCUCAGCUUGUUCCUUGGUCACUAGGCUGGUCAUUUCCAGUGACUUUGAUCUGUGACCUAACCUUUAGGCCCUGAAGACCAGAGAAGACCUGGAAUGACCCAGACCAUGUCUCAGCUCUAUGGAGACACCACUGAGAAAGACCCUUCGUGAGGUCUGCAGGUGGAGGGAGUGGGGGGUCACAGGAGAGUCAUGGGAGUGGGGACCCUCACGUCAGUGUUUUCUGGCAGCUCCUUCCAGGAAGGAGCAGUGAAGCACCAAGACCCAGGUGGCCUGAGAAGGACUUGAGGAGUCAAAGGCUGAUUGUCAGCUCAGAGGAAGUGAGAGUUCCCUGGGGCUGAGCUUAGAGCAUCUGCACCUCAGCGAGCCCAGGCCCUGGGGCUCUCAGGGACAACGUGGACUAUGCUCACACUCUCAGCCCAGAAGAGACUCACCUGAGGACGGCCUGGAAGAGCAAGGAUGCUGCCCCCAGAUGGGAGUCGCUGUGGAGUUGCAGGCUGUGAAGACGCUGAUGCAGGAGAGCUCCCUGCCCUCCCGCCAUGGCCUAGAGCAGGAGGUAGAUCUGCACACACAGGAAGGCCCUGCCCCUCCCUCCAGGGCAGAUCUUCCAAGCAUUAAAAAGAUUUAGUAUAGUACAAGUGAUGAAAAAAACAUGAAGCACAUGAUCUAAAUACAGUACGAUAGACAAAGGAAUCAGUAACAGACACCCCCUCAUGAAACUCACAAAUGUUUGCCAAGUUGUAAACACACUCCUACACAGAAACCAACCGUUGAAGUAAAGGGAAAUGCAGAAGUAUGAUGAGAUGAAUGGGAAUUAAGACACAGUAGAGACAAUUUAGGUGGUUCUGGGAACAGCACUGAGAGGAUAAUUUUAACAAAUGUAUGUGUGUGUGUGUGUGUUUGUAAUAUGAGUGUACAACUGUAUAUACACGCAGGUAUAGCAUAUGUACUCAAAUAUAUAUUUCUCUUUAAUUAUUAACCAUGCGCAAAUACUUAUUUUCAAAUUGUUCCCCCCUGUACUGAUGAGUUUUCUAGUUACUAAUAUUAAAGAGGAAUGCAGGACUGGGAUUACGUGCUACACCUGCCAUUUAGUGUAUCAGUUAG